UACGGGGGGUGCAAGCGUUAAUCGGAAUGACUGGGCGUAAAGGGUGUGUAGGCGGUUGCUUAAGUUUGGUGUGAAAUCUCCCGGCUCAACUGGGAGGGUGCGCCGAAUACUGAGUGACUCGAGUGCGGGAGAGGAAAGUGGAAUUCCAGGUGUAGCGGUGAAAUGCGUAGAUAUCUGGAGGAACACCGGUGGUGUAGACGGCUUUCUGGACCGUAACUGACGCUGAGACACGAAAGCGUGGGUAGCAAACAGG
rnacentral:rRNA from 1 species